rnacentral:rRNA from 1 species
GAUGAACGCUAGCGGCAGGCCUAACACAUGCAAGUCGAGGGGUAACAUAGUAGCUUGCUACUGAUGACGACCGGCGCACGGGUGCGUAACGCGUAUACAAUCUACCUUGUACUAUUGGAUAGCCCAGAGAAAUUUGGAUUAAUACAAUAUAGUAUCAUAUUACGGCAUCGUAUUUAUGAUUAAAGAUUACGGUAUAAGAUGAGUAUGCGUCCUAUUAGUUUGUUGGUGUGGUAACGGCACACCAAGACUACGAUAGGUAGGGGCCCUGAGAGGGGGAUCCCCCACACUGGUACUGAGACACGGACCAG